rnacentral:rRNA from 1 species
UACGUAGGGUGCAAGCGUUGUCCGGAAUUAUUGGGCGUAAAGAGCUCGUAGGCGGUUUGUCGCGUCUGCUGUGAAAACUCGGGGCUUAACUCCGGGCCUGCAGUGGGUACGGGCAGACUAGAGUGCGGUAGGGGAGACUGGAAUUCCUGGUGUAGCGGUGAAAUGCGCAGAUAUCAGGAGGAACACCGGUGGCGAAGGCGGCCUUCUGGUCGGAUACUGACGCUAAAACGCGAAAGCGUGGGGAGCAAACAGG